CGUACACUCCUACGGGAGGCAGCAGUGGGGAAUAUUGGACAAUGGGCGCAAGCCUGAUCCAGCCAUGCCGCGUGAGUGAUGAAGGCCCUAGGGUUGUAAAGCUCUUUCACCGGAGAAGAUAAUGACGGUAUCCGGAGAAGAAGCCCCGGCUAACUUCGUGCCAGCAGCCGCGGUAAUACGAAGGGGGCUAGCGUUGUUCGGAAUUACUGGGCGUAAAGCGCACGUAGGCGGAUCGAUCAGUCAGGGGUGAAAUCCCAGGGCUCAACCCUGGAACUGCCUUUGAUACUGUCGAUCUGGAGUAUGGAAGAGGUGAGUGGAAUUCCGAGUGUAGAGGUGAAAUUCGUAGAUAUUCGGAGGAACACCAGUGGCGAAGGCGGCUCACUGGUCCAUUACUGACGCUGAGGUGCGAAAGCGUGGGGAGCAAACAGGAUUAGAUACCCUAGUAGUCCCAUGAU
rnacentral:rRNA from 1 species